UAUAUAUAUAUAUAUAUAUAUAUAUAUAGUUUCAGAUUGGGUAAAAUGGUGGGUCAAACGUCCAUUUUACGGCCGUAUUGUUGGGUCUUUAGUCGAUUGUCGGGUCCCAAAGUCGAUUAUCGGGCACUUGGACCCGACAGUUGAAGACCCACUUAAAAAAAGGCUGCUUAACAUACUCAUGACUAUUUUUAAAUUCAAAUUUGCAUGUGUAAUUUUACUCGAAUUGUCGGGCCUAUAUCUCCCAUUAGCACACAUUAGGUCAAACUCCACACAGCAGUUACUUCCCUUGGGCAUUCGCCAAUCAUUAAUGUCUUUUUCUAGAAUAAGGGAGGCCACUGCGUAUGAGAUUGACCAACCUCGGCGCAGUGAUUUACCGGGAACCAGCAUAGCAACGAACGACAACUCGGCGCCCGACAACUCUGUAAUAAAAAUUGCCAAUUUUCGCGGUUAAACUUAAAAAGAGUCCAUGUCAACUGCUGACAGUGAAGAGCCAGGCAGUCUGACCCAUGAUAGGAGGAGCCAAGUGAAGAGCCAGCCAGUCUGACCCAUGAUAGGAGGGAGCCAAGUGAAGAGCCAGCCAGUCUGACCCAUGAUUCUUGACAUGACUCAUGGUGAACUAAAAUUGCUUGCAAAGCAUCUGGGACAUGAUGUGAAGACCCACAAGGAAUAUUAUCAGUUGUCUUCCAGUACCAUGGAACUCUCAAAGGU